rnacentral:rRNA from 1 species
UACGUAGGGUGCAAGCGUUUGUCCGGAAUUAUUGGGCGUAAAGAGCUCGUAGGCGGUUUGUUGCGUCGGCUGUGAAAUCCCGAGGCUCAACCUCGGGUCUGCAGUCGAUACGAGCAACUAGAGUGUUGCAGGGAGACUGGAAUUCCUGGUGUAGCGGUGAAAUGCGCAGAUAUCAGGAGGAACACCGGUGGCGAGGGCGGGUCUCUGGGCAACAACUGACGCUGGAGGAGCGAAAGCGUGGGAGCGAACAGG